GACGAACGCUGGCGGCGUGCUUAACACAUGCAAGUCGAACGGUAAGGCCCUUCGGGGUACACGAGUGGCGAACGGGUGAGUAACACGUGGGUGAUCUGCCCUGCACUUCGGGAUAAGCCUGGGAAACUGGGACUAAUACCGGAUAGGACUCCGGACUGCAUGGUCUGGGGUGGAAAGCUUUUGCGGUGUGGGAUGGGCCCGCGGCCUAUCAGCUUGUUGGUGGGGUGAUGGCCUACCAAGGCGACGACGGGUAGCCGGCCUGAGAGGGUGACCGGCCACACUGGGACUGGGAGACGGCCCAGACUCCGACGGGAGGCAGCAGUGGGGAAUAUUGCACAAUGGGCGCAAGCCUGAUGCAGCGACGCCGCGUGAGGGAUGACGGCCUUCGGGUUGUAAACCUCUUUCAGCAUCGACGAAGCGAAAGUGACGGUAGGUGCAGAAGAAGGACCGGCCAACUACGUGCCAGCCGCCGCCGUAA
rnacentral:rRNA from 1 species